rnacentral:rRNA from 1 species
UACGGAAGGCAGCAGUGGGGAAUAUUGGACAAUGGGCGAAAGCCUGAUCCAGCUAUGCCGCGUGUAUGAAGAAGGCCUUAGGGUUGUAAAGUACUUUCAUCGGGGAGGAAAAAACAAAACUAAUAAUUUUAUUUCUUGACGUUACCCGAAAAAGAAGCACCGGCUAACUCCGUGCCAGCAGCCGCGGUAAUACGGAGGGUGCUAGCGUUAAUCAGAAUUACUGGGCGUAAAGAGCACGUAGGUGGUUUUUUUAAAGUCAGAUGUGAAAUCCCUGGGCUUAACCUAGGAACUGCAUUUUGAAACUGAAAUACUAGAGUAUCGUAGAGGGAGGUAGAAUUCUAGGUGUAGCGGUGAAAUGCGUAGAUAUCUGGAGGAAUACCUGUGGCGAAAGCGGCCUCCUAAACGAAUACUGACACUGAGGGUGCGAAAGCGUGGGGAGCAAACAGGGAUUAGAUACC